GCAUUCGCCCUUCGGGGCGCAGCAGGCGCGAAAACUUUACAAUGCUGGAAACAGCGAUAAGGGGACCUCGAGUGCCAGGUUACAAAUCUGGCUGUCGUGAUGCCUAAAAAGCAUUGCAUAGCAAGGGCCGGGCAAGACCGGUGCCAGCCGCCGCGGUAACACCGGCGGCUCGAGUGGUAACCGUUAUUAUUGGGUCUAAAGGGUCUGUAGCCGGCCGGAUAAGUCUCUUGGGAAAUCUGGCAGCUUAACUGUCAGGCUUUCAGGAGAUACUGUCUGGCUCGAGGCCGGGAGAGGUGAGAGGUACUUCAGGGGUAGGGGUGAAAUCUUGUAAUCCUUGAAGGACCACCAGUGGCGAAGGCGUCUCACCAGAACGGACCUGACGGCAAGGGACGAAAGCUAGGGGCACGAACCGGAUUAGAUACCCGGGUAGUCCUAGCCGUAAACGAUACUCGCUAGGUGUCGGCCACGGUGCGACCGUUGUCGGUGCCGUAGGGAAGCCGUGAAGCGAGCCACCUGGGAAGUACGGCCGCAAGGCUGAAACUUAAAGGAAUUGGCGGGGGAGCAC
rnacentral:rRNA from 1 species